GUCAGGGUCUUCAGAGAGGAAGAGGCAUCUCACCUCAGUCAGAAUCAGUCAGAAAUCAGCCAACCAAGCAAAUUGACAAGGACAGAUGUCUGAGCAUCCAAGGAGAAAGCCCCGAAGCCAGAAAAGCGGCCUCUAGGAAGAACUUCUUGUAUUCCAGAAUUUCAAUAGUGGCUGUUAAGACAGGAGGUUGUAGCUUAGGGAGCAAAGUAUUCUAAGUCCAAAAUUAGCCUAAGAUCAAUGCCUCCAAGAUACCCUAACCCCCAUUUACCAGUAACCCUCUAACUGUGGUCCACAUUCCAACCUGUAUGAGCAGUUCUGGGGGCACUGGUUGGGGAGAUGGGAGGGAGCUGAGGGAAAAGGAAAGUGAAAAGGAUCAAGAUGCAGAAUGUAUGUGUGG
rnacentral:lncRNA from 1 species